rnacentral:rRNA from 1 species
GAGUUUGAUCCCUGGUUCAGGAUGAACGCUAGCGACAGGCUUAACACAUGCAAGUCGAGGGGCAGCACGGGUAGCAAUACUGGGUGGCGACCGGCGCACGGGUGCGUAACGCGUAUGCAACCUACCUAUAAUAGGGGGAUAGCCUUCUGAAAGGGAGAUUAAGACCGCAUAAUACAACUGACUCGCAUGGAUUGGUUGUAAAAUAUUUAUAGAUUAUAGAUGGGCAUGCGUCUGAUUAGAUAGUUGGAGAGGUAACGGCUCACCAAGUCAACGAUCAGUAGGGGUUCUGAGAGGAAGGUCCCCCACAUUGGAACUGAGACACGGUCCAAACUCCUACGGGAGGCAGCAGUGAGGAAUAUUGGUCAAUGGGCGAGAGCCUGAACCAGCCAAGUCGCGUGAAGGAAGAAGGUCUUAUGGAUUGUAAACUUCUUUUAUAGGGGAAUAAAGAUGAGUACGCGUACUCAGUUGUAGGUACCCUAAGAAUAAGGAUCGGCUAACUCCGUGCCAGCAGCCGCGGUAAUACGGAGGAUCCGAGCGUUAUCCGGAUUUAUUGGGUUUAAAGGGUGCGUAGGCGGGUUGAUAAGUCAGUGGUGAAA